AUUGAUUAUGUGGGAAGAAUGCUAGAUGCUUGUGUGUAAUGAAUGAUCCAUCGAAUGUGAACAAGACCUUGUUGAUGAAAUCCCAUGAUGAUUCUUAAGUUUUCUAGUACAUGAUCCAUGCAUGCUAGUUUGUCCGUUUGUUGAUGGGGUACUCUAUUUUUCAUUCUGAUACUGGCUUAAUCUGUGGAACUAUCUAAUUUAUGGAAAAAUCUCACAGACAAAAGACAAAAACUGAAUUCUCUUCUUAGUGGACAUUGGUCAAUGAGGUAGUGUUCGAGCUGUCUUCUCUGUUGAUGGUCUGAUUGGCUGAAGUGAUGAGAUACAUCCAUGCUUGGUUCUUGUAGUGGUUCUUGACUGGCUUUCUGUUGGGAUGGUGAUUAUGUUAGUUGCAGUGGCUUCAAGGAGGUAGUGUUCGAGCUGUCUUGUCUGUUGACGUUUUGCUGGCUGAAGUGAUGAGAUAGUCUCGUGCUUGGUUCUGGUAGUGGCUAGCUCUUGACUGGUGUUUUGUUGGGAUGGUGACGACAGAUAGGGUGCUUGGUUAGGCUGUUUGUAGUGGAUCUUGAUUGGUGUUUAGACAUUUCUUUCUCAGCUUGUUUGGCCGCUAGCUAGUUUAGAUUAUGUUCCUCUCUUGUCUGUAUGUCACGUGUCAUAUAACAGAAUCUUGGAACCUCGUAAAAGCUUCAUAUGGAUGGUUCCCCUAUGGUUUGCCAUUAAUUUUUGGCAAGCAUUCAACUUCCAGUGGCAGUCUAACCUUUUGGCUUUUCUGAUUGUUUAAUGUGGUGGUACAAUGUAAGUGGCAAUCUGGCAUUGCUGCAUACCUGAUUGUUUAGACAUAUAUCUAUCUAAAAGAUAUAUGCAUGGUCGUCAUUAGCUUUGUCACUAUAAUUAUUACUCUUGUCAUUGUGUGUUUUAAGUUAGUCUCAGAUAAACAAAGGGAAACAUGCAUAUUUUCUCCUAUGCAAUCAAAAUUCUCUUGUAGUGCAGAUUACUUCUCUCGUUUGUAAUUAGAGUUCUCUUGUACUGUAGUGUCAGGACCCAGUUAAACUUAACUGAUGUAGAGAUUUUACGGGCGGCGACCUUAACACCCACUCUUGAGCACCUUUGCACACUACACUACUUGGGAUAUCAAACUUGUGGAAACUUAACACUUUAUUCACUAUUUCAAUGUUACUACAACACUCUCUUUAGUGGCUACCCUACACACAACCCUACCAUGGUAGCUCACUUCUCUACUUGGUGUGGUGAUACACUACUUGUGGUGAUUGUGGUACACCUAUGAGGUGGGGGCAUCCCUAUUUAUACUUGUACAAGACCAUGUGGUACAUCACACUACAAUUUUCUUGAAUACUCUUCAUGUAUCCUAGUUCUAGAGAAUUCUCACUUAUUCUUGAAACUUAUCUUAACUAUGUCCUUCCAUGGUAAAUUGCAACAGUUUUCAAGUAAUCUCUCAAGGCUUCUAGAAUAUUCAUAUCUUCUCAUAUUCACUGGAAAGCUCCUUGUAAAUAUCUUCUCCUCCACUAAUCCAAGGUAUUCUAGCAUCUUCUCAAAUAUGCAUAACUAAUUCCCAAUACUCUCCAAUUAUCCAGAAUGUUCCAGAAUAUUCUCAAGUAUGCAUUGCUAUUUCUCAACACUCCCCCUCGAUGCAUACUUGACUCCCAAUCAUCUCUUCAAUGAUGUCCUUGGAUCUUCUGAGCUCUUCCAUUGUGAACUUUCUUCUUUUCUUCGUGCAUUGAGUUCUUCUUAACCUCAUUGCAUUUUCGCAGCUCAGUUCUCUUCUUUGUCCUUAUCCAAACUUGACCUUUUGUUAUUUCCAUGUAUGAAGAUACUUGAGAAAGGGAACCACGAAAAUACCUCGGAU
rnacentral:lncRNA from 1 species